rnacentral:misc_RNA from 1 species
UAUCAUUAACAAACCCACACAGAUUUAAGAUUUUGCAUAUGGUAGGUACAAAUUCACAUGCCCUUAUUUAUUAUACACCACAUAUCAGAGCGUAGCUGAAGAUCCAUCAGUUCUUUUGGGCUUGCGUAAGGUGAGCAGCAAUAUCCUUGCUGCAAUGAACAACAAACUCUAGCAGUGUAUUGGGAUCUGGAGUAUUCUCGUUGAUCUUCUCAUAUUCCAAGGUCCAGUGCACCAAGCUUCCCUUCUCCUUUGGUGUAGCUUGAACGAUGAGUUUGAAGCUCUUGUAAUCCUUCAGGAGAUCUCCUUCUACCACUUUGAAGGUGGUUGAAAAGUUCACAUCGUCUAUGGCUUCGAUUAUCUCCUUGGCAAUCUUGGGAGACCCAUCAUGAAAAUAAUUCCAGCAGACAACAGUGCCUUCUUUGCCCCAUUCACCUUCAUGCAGUUCGCAACCUUGAAUCUUUUCAGGGCUCAUAAUGGAUACAUGGUGUGGUCUGCAGCUGACGACAUCAUGAAACUGAUCUGCAGGAGCAUUCACCUCUACAUCUGCCUCCAAUUUCCCUAAGAGGGCCAUUAUUUUUCCAGAAAAAGAAAAAGUUUCUGGUGAUGCUUAGAUACUAAUCAAGACCAGAUUUCACCGAG